AUCUGCCGUGGGCGCUGGAGAACUGAGGGGGGCUGCUCCUAGUACGAGAGGACCGGAGUGGACGCAUCACUGGUGUUCGGGUUGUCAUGCCAAUGGCACUGCCCGGUAGCUAAAUGCGGAAGAGAUAAGUGCUGAAAGCAUCUAAGCACGAAACUUGCCCCGAGAUGAGUUCUCCCUGAGACUUUAGGUCUCCUGAAGGAACGUUGAAGACGACGACGUUGAUAGGCCGGGUGUGUAAGCGCAGCGAUGCGUUGAGCUAACCGGUACUAAUGAACCGUGAGGCUUAACCUUAC
rnacentral:rRNA from 1 species